GAUGAACGCUGACAGAAUGCUUAACACAUGCAAGUCUUUGGCGAAGCUGUGCUUGCACCGCCUAGCCAAGGCGGACGGGUGGGUAACGCGUAAGGAACUUGCCCUGCAGUCAGGGAUAACAGACGGAAACGACUGAUAAGACCUGGUAAAGUCAGGCGGACUCAUGUCCAGCCUGAUGAAAAGUGAUGCUGCAGGAGAGCCUUGCGUCCUAUUAGCUUGUUGGUGGGGUAACGGCCCACCAAGGCGAUGAUAGGUAGCCGGCCUGAGAGGGUGGACGGCCACAAGGGGACUGAGAUACGGCACUGACUCCUACGGGAGGCAGCAGUGGGGAAUAUUGGACAAUGGGGGCAACCCUGAUCCAGCAAUUCGGUGUGCACGAUGAAGGUUUUCGGAUUGUAAAGUGCUUUCAGCAGGGAAGAAAAAAAUGACGGUACCUGCAGAAGAAGCGACGGCUAAAUACGUG
rnacentral:rRNA from 1 species